AGCAGCCGCGGUAAUUCCAGCUCCCAAUAGCGUAUAUUAAAAGUUGUUGCAGUUAAAAAAGCUCGUAGUUGAAUUUCGGGACUAAUAUGUCGGUCGUACUUUGUACGUACUAGCAUUAUUGGUUUCUCCCCUUCUGAUGAACCACGAUGUCAUUAAUUUGGUGUCGCGGGAAAUCAGGACUGUUACUUUGAAAAAAUUAGAGUGUUUAAAGCAAGCUCGCGCUUGAAUACAUUAGCAUGGAAUAAUGAAAAUAGGACGUUUGAUUCUAUUUUGUUGGUUUUCUAGGAUCGACGUAAUGAUUAAUAGGGAUAGUUGGGGGCAUUAGUAUUCAAUUGUCAGAGGUGAAAUUCUUGGAUUUAUUGAAGACUAACUACUGCGAAAAGCAUUUGCCAAGGAUGUUUUCAUUAAUCAAGAACGAAGUUAGGGAUCGAAGACGAUCAGAUACCGUCGUAGUCUUAACCAUAACUAUGCCGACUAGGGAUCGGAUGAUGUUAAUUUUUANGUACUCAUUCGGCGUCCG
rnacentral:rRNA from 1 species